rnacentral:lncRNA from 1 species
GGCAGCCAGCUCCCCGCAGGUACCCGGGGAAAGGAGAGUGGAGGGCAAGGCAAGCGUCAGGUAGUUAACACCCCCAACAGGCUUUCCAGGGACAGACAGGCAGUAACACGGUGACAGGGGAGAGGUGUGGAUGCUCCAGUCACUUUCCAUCAGCACAGGAUAUCGCUUUCGAUCUUCCUCAUUCCUGUCGUGAUCCUUGUACCAAAAUGUCUUUUCUGCAACUUCAGAGCGUUGUGUAAUUUCUAAUUCAUAUCAGAGGCUGUCUUGAGGUUGGCCGCCCUGAGUUGCGUUUGUAAAGACUCCUUUCCCAGUGAAAGAAUGUGCGUUUUCCCAGCUUUGUCAACGUGGGAUGGAUACAGGUAUCUGGGUCACUUGCUUGCGCCAGUGGCCUAGGUGGGGAGGACAUUAAUAAACCCUGGCCUCAAAUGCAAAUCUUACCCAAGAAAAAUAAGAAUGGCCAUGAGAAUGAAAAAAGAUAGCCGCCUCCUCUCGCUCAUCCGCCGCUCGGUCUACAUCAGGUUCACGGAUCGUCUCCCCAACAGUGUUUUUGUUCUUUCUUCUCGUCCCCAGGUCGGAAGAUAUAAUUUACAGCCUCCAGAAGUCUCGCCGAGCCUGAUUGGAUGGUGUCCAGCUUUGCCGGAAUCAGGGAGGGAGAAGGGCAGCCCUGCCAAUGAGGGGCGAGACCGAUUAAAAGGGCCUCACCGGUGGAAUAUAAUCCCUCCUCUGUACUCACUGGUGACCAGCCACGGUUGUCUUUCAAAGGACACCACGGGUUAGCCCAAGAUGAAGACAAGACGGAGAGGCGGCUGGGCCCCAGGCGGGUGUGACAGCCCACGGGGGGACAGGAUGCAGCCGUGACUGCCUACAUGCAGGACCCAUCAGCCCCGAGAGCCCUGAAACUCCCCAAGGGAGCGGAGUGCCAAAGGCCCCCAAACUGACCAAAGUCACCGGCCCUGGUCCUGCAUCCGGUGGGGACUUCCGGCGUCUUCCUCGCAGCCUCGGACAGCCUGUUGGCUUUGGAUGCACGCCUUGCUUUCCAGUGAGCAUCCCGCCCCUUUGCCGCCCCAACACAGUGUGCAUGAGGCAAGCGUGAGGCUUCUAAGUGAACCUGGGAGUCAGCAACAGGUAGGACCGAAUCGGCCCUUCACUCGGCGUAUGCGUGGCCAUCCAGAGACAACCCCCACCCCAGGACCCCUGCGGGAGGUGCCUGUGGGAGUAGACAGGGUCUGGAGUUGCUCUCAUUUUCCGAAAUGGUUGCUCCAUCCCUGAAGAACGAAAGAAUCCCGGGCAGUGGUCAAAUGGAAACAUAUCUCUUAGCGAGAUGUCUGAAAGGCAGGAACAAGGAGGGGAGGGAUUUCACUUCUCUGAAGGCCUUCCUUCUUCCCUUCCUCGAAGCGCAGAUAUAGGUGGAUGCAUGCAGACUGACUUUUCUCUGCAAUUAAGCACGGCGGUGGCCAGGAAAACGGGAGCGUGGGGGUGGGGGCGGGGCACACCCAGCCUUCGGUCCUCACUGUUGUCCCUUGUUAAACGUGGGGUCUGCGAGAGCCGACUGCUCAGGUAAGGGCAGUGCAGAGAACAGGAUGCCCCAAGCAACCCAUAAAUAGCAGGGCGAAGACAAAGUGUUUAUUACCUGGCCUCGCGAAGCCCGUAUAAAUGCUCUCCCAGGGUGCGAGAGAGGGGAGCAUGUGUGAGCCGGCCCGCCUGCGUCCCGGGAACGGGAGUCCCAGACCCCGCUGUUCGCGCUUGGCUUGAUUCUAUGAAGGCGUCUAUUUGAUGG